CUAGCUUUUCAAAUUUUUUCAUCCUAAAAAUAGGAGUUAAUAUCUGGCAAAAAAAAAAAAGAGUUAAUAUUCUUAGAAAACCCUUAUGAAGUUUACAUGAUUAGCCAUUCUAGUUUCUGUUAUACGCAAAAAUCACUAUGAAGACCCGGCCCAUAAAAGAAGACUAUGAUGGACUCAAGAGUGGACCAAGCCCAAGCUAGACAUGUCAGUCAGAAGAGACCACUUCAAGAAGAUUGGGCGCGCCUUAUCUUCAGGGCGCGCCAAGUUGAAGCUUACAGAGAAAGAUCGUCAUUUGAAGGGCAGAAGGGGACAUAUUUUACCUAGGGGGACGCCCUUGGGUGUGUAUAGAUCCUACUGUUAAUUUGUCGAAGACUCUACCUUGUAGUCUGAGGAGUUGCCCUCCUUGGGAGAUAGAGAAUGAAGAUUAGAGGAGGCCUUGCUCUGUAGUCUGGCGAGUUGUCCUUGUCGGGGAGCUUGUGGAACCUUCUCGAAGAUAUACCCUGAAAGGCUCUAUCUCUGUAGUCUGGCGGGUUGUCCCUGUCGGGGAGUAGAGAAGCGUCCUUGCAUUUGGGGUAAGUCUUGGGUGCUCGAGAGUCUACAAGGCCCAAGACUAGGCCUCAUCGUAUUGGGCCCCUUUCAGGAGGAAGAUAGCAGAAGGGGAAGCCUAAUCCUAUUAGGUUUAGGUUUCCUAGGCAGAAAAGAACUACGUACUGGCUUGAUCCCCUAUAAAUAUAGGGGUACGUAGGCAAAUUAGGAGGACACGAGUUGGGAGCAUCUGGAGGCAACUCGAAACCCUAAUCUCAGCCACCCCUAAAAUUUCAUCACCACCGCUCAGCCACCGUCAUAGAUCUUGAUUCCGGCCACGAACCUCGAAUUUUGUUAACUACCAAAUUCCUCCGUUAACAAAUUGGCGCUAGAAGGAGGGGCUAUUUUUUGAUUGAGGAGGACAAUCAAACCUGCAAAUAGAUCUCGGGCUUGUUACGGGUGUUGGCAAUGGCUCUGAUUUGCGGCAACAAAAGACAAGAAGUUUGUAUGCACGAGUGUAACGGAAAAGAACUUGGCGAUCGUCAUAAGCCACGUGAUAAUCAUGAUUAACCAGGCUCAUGCGGCAGAUAAGUUUUUCUUUCUUAUUUAUUUUAUUUGUAAUUUCAAUGUGUGUAUUGUCCAGGACAGAAUCAACCGGUGAACGGCAUACAAGCGACCAUCAUAGCAGAGCGAAGGUUUGUAUAUAUGGAUGAAAGCGUCGUAAAUACAUGCUAGAACAGGUCCAGCAACGUUACUCGAUGAUUUGGGAAAAGAAUAAAGAAGCACCCAGGCAUGUGACAAAACCAGUGUAAAACUUGUCUCUGGUUUGCGACCGAAGCUUCGGACAUAAAAAGCAAUCUCAUGUGCUAAAUUCGGAUUUCGUUAACUUCUCACAGAUAAGUAUUCCAUAUUCAAAUUUUAUUAUGAAAGUUUAUGCGUGCACGGAGUUUUGAUUAUAUUCAUGUGAAUCACGAAUCAGUUUUGUGAGUAAUUUUUAUUAAGCAUAUUGGUAUAAAAUCUACAAAAAGAAAUUUAUAGUUGUUAUAAUGCAUAUGCAAAAUUUAUUUUCAAUUCAUAGUUGAAUUGAUUCAACUUGAGAGUUUAUAUGUGGCUAACCUGGUUGGACUAAAAAAUAUAUUUGCUUGAAGAUUUAUAGCACAGACAGGGUUAUAUAAACUAUGUGUGCAACAUAUAGAGAUGAAGAAACAAAAUAAGAUGGGACUAAUGUGGAAGCAAGCCGCUGACAACGUACAAGCCAGAUAGUCGAAUAUACUGGGCAUUGGCUACUGGUUCUCUACAGAGACCAAUUACAGCUAGCAUGGAGCGACAAAACGAUCGGUUCCAAACCGUUGUAAAUAUAUUUAAGAGUUAAUUACAGUUUGUAACCCCUAGGAUUGCUCCAAACGCACUUAAGAUCCUGAACUAUCAAACGUGACAUAAUGCACCCUGAACUUUACAUUCUCGUGCAAGUUGUAACCCAUAGUCACUAUUCCGUCCAAAU
rnacentral:lncRNA from 1 species